rnacentral:pre_miRNA from 1 species
UUACGUUACCACUGUGUACGUUACCACUGUGUACGUUACGUUACCACUGUGUACACAGUGGUAACGUAACGUACACAGUGGUAACGUACACAGUGGUAACGUUAC